ACCUGAUUUCCAUGCCGAACUCAGAAGUGAAACGAAUUAGCGCCGAUGGUAGUGUGGGGCUUCCCCAUGUGAGAGUAGGACAUCGUCAGGC
rnacentral:rRNA from 1 species